UCACUACAAUCGAAACAACUA
rnacentral:piRNA from 1 species